UACGAAGGGGGCUAGCGUUGCUCGGAAUUACUGGGCGUAAAGGGCGCGUAGGCGGAUAUUUAAGUCGGGGGUGAAAGCCCGGGGCUCAACCUCGGAAUUGCCUUCGAUACUGGAUAUCUUGAGUACGGGAGAGGUGAGUGGAACUCCGAGUGUAGAGGUGAAAUUCGUAGAUAUUCGGAAGAACACCAGUGGCGAAGGCGACUCACUGGCCCGUUACUGACGCUGAGGCGCGAAAGCGUGGGGAGCAAACAGG
rnacentral:rRNA from 1 species